rnacentral:misc_RNA from 1 species
AAGACUAUAGACCUGCGGAGUACCUGCGGAAGGAUCAUUAUUGAAUUAUGUUUCUAAAUGGGUUGUAGCUGGCUCGUCAGAGCAUGUGCACGCCUGUUUGGACUUCAUUUUCAUCCACCUGUGCACCUAUUGUAGUCUUUGGUUGGGUAUCAAGGAAGUGGUCAGCCUAUCAGCACCUGCUGGAUGUGAGGACUUGCAGUGUGAAAGCUUUGCUGUCCUUUACUUGAUCAUGGAGUUGUU